rnacentral:rRNA from 1 species
AUUGAACGCUGGCGGCAUGCUUUACACAUGCAAGUCGAACGGCAGCGCGAGCUUCGGCCUGGCGGCGAGUGGCGAACGGGUGAGUAAUUCAUCGGAACGUGCCCAGUAGUUGGGGAUAGCCCGGCGAAAGCCGGAUUAAUACCGCAUACGACCUGAUGUUGAAAGCGGGGGACCGAAAGGCCUCGCGCUAUUUGAUCUGCCGAUGUCGGAUUAGCUAGUUGGUGGGGUAAAGGCUUACCAAGGCGACGAUCCGUAGCUGGUCUGAGAGGACGACCAGCCACACUGGGACUGAGACACGGCCCAGACUCCUACGGGAGGCAGCAGUGGGGAAUUUUGGACAAUGGGGGCAACCCUGAUCCAGCCAUGCCGCGUGAGGGAAGAAGGCCUUCGGGUUGUAAAACGCUUUUGUUAGGGAAGAAAUCAUCUGGGCUAAUCCCCCGGGGGGAUGACGGUACCGGAAGAAUAAGCACCGGCUAACUACGUG